GCCAGUGUGGCAUAGUGGUUUGAGCAUUGGACUACCACUUUGGAGACCAGAGUUCAAUUCCUGCUCAGCCA